AUAUUGUUUCCUCCGUCCGGAAAUACUUGUCAUCAAAAUGAAUAAAAAAGGAUGUAUCUAGAUGUAGAUACAUCCCUUUUUAUUCAUUUUGAUGACAAGUAUUUCCGGACGGAGGAAGUGACAU
rfam:Triticum urartu cultivar G1812 contig344389, whole genome shotgun sequence.